rnacentral:rRNA from 1 species
CCUACGGGUGGCAGCAGUGAGGAAUAUUGGUCAAUGGGCGUAAGCCUGAACCAGCCAAGCCGCGUGCAGGAUGACGGUUCUAUGAAUUGUAAACCUCUUUUAUACGGGAAUAAAUUGCGUUACGUGUCGCGUUUUGAAAGUACCUUACGAAUAAGGAUCGGCUAACUCCGUGCCAGCAGCCGCGGUAAUACGGAGGAUCCGAGCGUUAUCCGGAUUUAUUGGGUUUAAAGGGUGCGUAGGCUGCUUUAUAAGUCAGCGGUGAAAGACUGAGGCUCAACCAUGGAAGUGCCGUUGAAACUGGAGGUCUAGAGUAGGGAUGGAGCAGGCGGAAUGCGUGGUGUAGCGGUGAAAUGCUUAGAUAUCACGCAGAACACCGAUUGCGAAGGCAGCCUGCCAGGCCAUGACUGACGCUGAUGCACGAAAGCGUGGGGAUCGAACAGGAUUAGAUACCCGGGUAGUC